rnacentral:rRNA from 1 species
GUAAAUAAUAAAGGGCGUAUGGUGGAUGCCUAGGCUCUCAGAGGCGAUGAAGGACGUGAUAAGCUGCGAAAAGCUCCGUUUAGGUGCAAAUAACCUUUGAUGCGGAGAUCUCCGAAUGGGAUAACCCAAUAUGUUGAAGACAUAUUAUACCGUAAGGUAGGCAAACGCAGGGAACUGAAACAUCUAAGUACCUGCAGGAGAAGAAAACAAACGUGAUUCCCCCAGUAGCGGCGAGCGACCGGGGAUAAGCCCAAACCGUUAUUGUUUCGGCAGUAGCGGGGUAGUAGGACUGCGACAUUGAUGAAAUAAAUGAAAUGGAACACCUUGGAAAAUGUGAUCAUAGAGGGUGAUAAUCCCGUACAUGUAAGUUUAUGAAUCAUAGCAGACUCCUGAGUAAGUCGGGACACGUGUAAUCCUGACCGAAUCCGCCGGGACCAUCCGGCAAGGCUAAAUACUCCUGAGAGACCGAUAGUGAACCAGUACCGUGAGGGAAAGGUGAAAAGCACUUCGAACAGAAGAGUGAAAUAGUCCCUGAACCCAUACGCCUACAAGCAGUCGGAGCCGCUUCGUGCGGUGACGGCGUGCCUUUUGCAUAAUGAGCCUACGAGUUACUCAUCACCAGCGAGGUUAAGUACUUCAGGUACGUAAGCCGAAGCGAAAGCGAGUCUGAAUAGGGCGUCAAGUUGGUGGUGGUAGACGCGAAACCUUAGUGAUCUACCCAUGGGCAGGGUGAAGGUUUGGUAACACAAACUGGAGGCCCGAACCGGUAAACGUUGAAAAGUUUUCGGAUGACCUGUGGGUAGGGGUGAAAGGCCAAUCAAACUGGGAAAUAGCUCGUACUCUCCGAAAUGCAUUUAGGUGCAGCCUCUGUUGUUUUGUUCUAGAGGUAGAGCUACUGAUUGGAUGCGAGGGCUUCACCGCCUAUCAAAUCCGGCCAAACUCCGAAUGCUAGAACAUGAAGACAGGGAGUGAGCCAGCGGGUGCUAAGGUCCGUUGACGAAAGAGGGAGAACUCAGACCAUCAGCUAAGGUCCCCAAUUAUAUGCUAAGUUGGAAUAAAAACGGGGUGGGACUGCUUAGACAGCUAGGAUGUUGGCUUGGAAGCAGCCAUUCAUUUAAAGAGUGCGUAACAGCUCACUAGUCGAGCGGUCCUGCAUGGAUAAUACGCGGGCAUAAGCAUAUAACCGAAGCUAUGGGAUUGUAGAUGAUACAAUCGGUAGGAGAGCAUUCCAUUCAGCGUAGAAGCAGUAUCGUGAGGUAUUGUGGAGCGGAUGGAAAAGCAAAUGUAGGCAUAAGUAACGAUAAUGCGGGUGAGAACCCCGCACGCCGAAAGAUCAAGGAUUCCCCGGCAAUGUCAAUCAUCCGGGGGUAAGUCGGAUCCUAAGGGUAAGCCGAGUGGCGAUCCCGAUGGCAAACAGGUUAAUAUUCCUGUACUGAUCAUAACUGCGAUGCAGCGACGCAGAGGUGACACUGCUGCGUACUGACGGAAUAGUACGUUGAAACCCGUAUUCUUUGAUACCGGUAGUGAAGCACGCCGGUAGAGAUGAAAGGUGAUAGUACCGCAAUGCUUCGGUUGCGCGGAUAACGCAGGUAAGCUGACUGCCAAGAAAACCUGCUAAGCUUCAGGUAAUGAUCAUCCGUACUGUAAACGGACACACGUGAUCAGGUAGAAAAUACUAAGGCGCUCGAGAGAUUCAUGGUUAAGGAACUAGGCAAAAUGGUCCUGUAACUUCGGGAUAAAGGACGCUCUUGUGAAAGAGCCGCAGAUAAUAGGCCCAGGCGACUGUUUACCAAAAACACAUGGCUAUGCUAAUUCGCAAGAAGAUGUAUAUGGCCUGACACCUGCCCGGUGCCGGAAGGUUAAGAGGAGAGCUCAGAGGUAACUCGAAGGUUUGAAUUGAAGCCCCGGUAAACGGCGGCCGUAACUAUAACGGUCCUAAGGUAGCGAAAUUCCUUGUCGGGU